UGGGGAAUAUUGCACAAUGGGGGAAACCCUGAUGCAGCGACGCCGCGUGAACGAAGAAGGUAUUCGUAUCGUAAAGUUCUGUCCUAUGGGAAGAUAAUGACAGUACCAUAGAAGAAAGCUCCGGCUAAAUACGUGCCAGCAGCCGCGGUAAUACGUAUGGAGCGAGCGUUGUCCGGAAUUAUUGGGCGUAAAGGGUACGCAGGCGGUUUAAUAAGUCGAAUGUUAAAGAUCGGGGCUCAACCCCGUAAAGCAUUGGAAACUGAUAAACUUGAGUAGUGGAGAGGAAAGUGGAAUUCCUAGUGUAGUGGAGAAAUACGUAGAUAUUAGGAGGAAUACCAGUAGCGAAGGCGACUUUCUGGACACAAACUGACGCUGAGGUACGAAAGCGUCGGGAGCAAACAGG
rnacentral:rRNA from 1 species